UACGAAGGGGGCUAGCGUUGCUCGGAAUCACUGGGCGUAAAGGGCGCGUAGGCGGCCAUUCAAGUCGGGGGUGAAAGCCUGUGGCUCAACCACAGAAUUGCCUUCAAUACUGUUUGGCUUGAGUCUGGUAGAGGUUGGUGGAACUGCGAGUGUAGAGGUGAAAUUCGUAGAUAUUCGCAAGAACACCGGCGGCGAAGGCGGCCCUCUGGAUCGUUGCUGACGCUGAGACGCGAAAGCGUGGGGAGCAAACAGGG
rnacentral:rRNA from 1 species